rnacentral:rRNA from 1 species
AUUGAACGCUGGCGGCAGGCCUAACACAUGCAAGUCGAGCGGAUGACGGGAGCUUGCUCCUUGAUUCAGCGGCGGACGGGUGAGUAAUGCCUAGGAAUCUGCCUGGUAGUGGGGGACAACGUUUCGAAAGGAACGCUAAUACCGCAUACGUCCUACGGGAGAAAGCAGGGGACCUUCGGGCCUUGCGCUAUCAGAUGAGCCUAGGUCGGAUUAGCUAGUAGGUGAGGUAAUGGCUCACCUAGGCGACGAUCCGUAACUGGUCUGAGAGGAUGAUCAGUCACACUGGAACAGAGACACGGUCCAGACUCCUACGGGAGGCAGCAGUGGGGAAUAUUGGACAAUGGGCGAAAGCCUGAUACAGCCAUGCCGCGUGUGUGAAGAAGGUCUUCGGAUUGUAAAGCACUUUAAGUUGGGAGGAAGGGCAGUAAGUUAAUACCUUGCUGUUUUGACGUUACCGACAGAAUAAGCACCGGCUAACUCUGUGCCAGCAGCCGCCGUAAUAC